AGCCACCGCACCCAGCCCCAACUUCUUUCUUCUGAGGAGCUAAGAAUUGAGGUUGCUGCAGACCCAUAAGGAUUCGCUGCUGGUAACAGCUGCUUCUGGGAUCAGAUAAACUGAAGCACAAGAAGGUAAAAACCUUGUCCUUGGUCUUACAACCAGAAAGUGGUGAUGCAAAGAACUUAGUCCAAGCUUUGAUCUUUUCUGCACUGCCUGCCAAAGCAGAACCUUGAGAAAUACCCAUGUUUGAGGGAUGAGAGGAAGAAGAUAAAUCAGCAAAGAAAAUAGUGAUAAGAAAGAGUUGCCUUGUCUAAUUCCAGCCCUGAGAUAGCUACCCAAGAUUGUUGUAACCUCCAGUGAUCAAGUUCUUUGGAUAAGCAAAGAGGGAGGACAUUAAGUGUGUGGAAAAGACCCCUCCUCUCCACUCUUGUUGCAAGGCAAGUUCUUUUCCUUAAUUGUCCUGACUCUUCUAUGUUGUUUCUAGAAGCUUUUUCUUUUUCUUUCUUCUUUUUUUUUAGAAACAGAGUCUCACUCUGUUGCCCAG